CGUGAUAACAUCCAGGGCAUAACAAAACCUGCAAUUCGUCGUUUAGCCAGAAGAGGUGGUGUCAAGAGAAUCAGUGGUUUGAUCUAUGAAGAAACUCGUGGUGUUCUCAAGAUCUUUCUCGAGAACGUGAUUCGUGAUGCUGUUACCUACACUGAGCACGCUAGGAGGAAAACCGUUACUGCCAUGGAUGUCGUUUAUGCUUUGAAGAGGCAGGGAAGGACUCUUUACGGUUUCGGUGGUUGAUUUUAGGGUUCAAUUUAGGGUUUCUGAUUGAACUAGCUUGAUUUAGUUGUAAAUGUUGUUUAAUUUCGGUGUAUUUCUAUUGUGUUCUUGUUUGGAUUCUUUUGAAUCAUUGAUUAGAUUAGUCUUUAGAUCUGAUUGAAUUGAAAUGAAUCGAUUAGUUCUGUGUUUCUAGUAUUUGGAAUUGGAUCUUAUUGAUGAAUGAAUAUUGAAUACUCUUUUGCUGCAAUUACAUCUGAAACGCGCGUUUUUGUUUUUAAUUUAUAGUUUUCUGUCAAGUUAUAACAUGAUUAAGAUUUUCAACUUAAAUUUAGUUUUAAUUAUCUAAUGAAAAACGAUAAAGGAAGAAGAAUCUCUUUUGAAAAAGAUAGGAAAUUCCUUUUAGAACAAGUUUAGAAUAGUUUUACUUUUAUUUUAUGAUGAUUGCAUCUCAGCAAAACAAUUUGGGGAUAAAGAAACCCGGUUUGGAUUUUACUUCAACAAAUCUAAAUAACAAAUACUCAAUUGAAGAAUUAUGCAAUAGUAUGAAUGUAUGAAAGUUAUUAGUACUGUCCUCAAGAAAAACUAUAGGAAAUUCAAUAUCAUCUAAAUUUGCAUUGUUGUAAUGAAAUUUUUGUUCAGUGAAACUCAACCCUUUAUUAUUUUCACCACUUACAAUAUUAAUUAUUAAAAAAUUGAAUUAUUGAUUUGAUUAAUUAUUAAAAAAUUGAAUUAUUGAUUUGAUGAGCACAUUUGAGAUUAUCCGGUGAAAAGUACACUGGAGACAACCCUCUUCCGUUGUAAUGACAUUCUCACAAGAAUGAAUAUCAGAUAAUCAGAAGAAUAGUAGUUUAGGACAUGGUUGCCAACUUGCCAAUAUCAACAUCAUUAUCAGCAAUAGCCAAUAGUAUCAUACACUCUUAAGUUAAUCAUUGACUUAGAUUUAUGUCUAAUACUAUCAGCCAAUUGGUAGAAGGAAGCAAUUUUUCUAUCCCAAAUUAAACACAAUUAACUUUGGUUUUUGAAUACACAUUGCGCCGUCUUGGAGAUGAAGUGAUUAAAAUGGCGCAAAGAGACAGGAAAGCUGGGAAAGCAUGAACUCCAAUGCUCUUACUACGAAAUACAGAGAAGGAAAUGGAAGCUGUUAUUGGGACAAAUUUCAAACAAAAAGCAAAUAAGACACUCUUAAAAGGAAUUCCCUUAUUUUAAAUGAUAGAUGCCUAAGUAGGAGUAACACUUAGUUCAGAAAUUCCAGAAAGUUUCAUCAUAAGGAAGUUCUUUUUGCAAUUCACAGUAUGAUGAAUAGCCAUUAAGAGUUAAUGAUACCGUUGCUGAUAAUGAUUAUGAAUUACUCCACAGUAUCCAUAGAAUAGCCAUUAAAAGAGUGAUUUGAUGAUUCAAAACAUCAAUGCUAGUUUAGCUUUAAUCCUUCUAGUAUGAAUAUUACCAAACGCAUUAAUUUUCAAAAGAAACUUAAGAAAUUUAAGCUUUCAAGAAAGAACUAACAGAGGACAUACCACAAGAGUGUUCAAAACCUCAACUGCUACUCUUUUGCAGUUUUCAUUUUGAGAAUUUUGAAAUAAGGAGGAUGUCUAAUUGUACCAUUUUUUGUCAAACUAACUAAUAAAUGAUUAUGGUCAGAUUAAGGUCUAGUGAGAGUGCAAUAAGAAAAUGAAUUCCAACAAGAGGAAUCUAUCUACCUAUCCAAUCUCAUUUGGAUAAGGAAUCUGCCAAGGUUCUGUUUCUAGCUGUAGAGUGCCUGCCAAGGUAAUUGGAUUUGGGUGUAUUGAUGGUGUUGUUCUAUGGUUUACUUACUACUAGUUACUACCAUUAUUUUGUGUAUUUUCUGUGUAGGCUUGUGUUGUGUAUGUUUCUAUAUAUUUUGGUUCUAACUUCUAACCCUUGCUUUGAAAUUGUUGGGUGUAUUAUUUAGGCCAUAAGGUGUUGCUAAUUGUCCGUGGGGCACUAAUCUCACGUAAAAGACUUUGUAUGGCAUUGUGUGAUAGAAGAUUAGGGAGUAAUUAGUUAAAUAAUUAUAAGUAGUAGUUAGUUAAAUAAUUUAGAUAUUAAUGAGACAUAGUAUUUAUACUAUUAGUUGGUCAUCUAUGUUAUUGGGUUUUGUUUGGUUGGGCUUUAUCCUCUAGGCCCAUUAAGAGUCUUAUAUAUAUAUGUAGUGUUCUUAUCAAUUGGCAAGGAAUGAAAAUGAAUGAAUUUAUUUUAUCUUUAUUUUACUUAUUUUCUUUAUUGUUUUUCUAGGUUUAGCUUAGUUGUAGUUUGAUAGAGCCUCAACUCUCUAUCAAUUGGUGCUUUCAUUCUUGAACAUCAACACCUCCCAUGGCUUAUUCAAACCAUACUCAUCUUUAUUAUCCAAAUCCCACCACCAUNNNNNNNNNNNNNNNNNNNNNNNNNNNNNNNNNNNNNNNNNNNNNNNNNNNNNNNNNNNNNNNNNNNNNNNNNNNNNNNNNNNNNNNNNNNNNNNNNNNNNNNNNNNNNNNNNNNNNNNNNNNNNNNNNNNNNNNNNNNNNNNNNNNNNNNNNNNNNNNNNNNNNNNNNNNNNNNNNNNNNNNNNNNNNNNNNNNNNNNNNNNNNNCCUAACAUUAUAAACAUAAGAUAUAUGCUUAAACAUAACACUUUCGGGACGCCUUCCCUUUAGGUGGCCCUAAUUCAUUUACCUUAUCAAUAAGUGAGUUAUGAUAUUGAAGAGAGGGAAAAUUUGAAAUUGAUUCCAACCUAAUUGAGGUUUUUGGAGAGAGGGAAAAUUUGAAAUUUGAAAUUGAUUCCAACCUAAUUGAUGUUUUUGGAUUCUAGCCUGUAAAAUCUGCAAUACGUGAAAGGUACAGCUCAAGGAAGAUUCUUGCUUCUCUAUUUUUUUGUUUGGCGUGAAGCUUUUCUUCUUUCAAGGACUGGGCUUUGCUGGGCUGGAUUGUGUUGGACUCAAUGUAUUUGGCCUAAAAUCACAGAACAGAAGAGGAGGAAAAACGAUUCAAAACAUUGGCCAUAAGAAGUAAACUUUUUAUCAUUUUGUCCAGCAAUGAUUUGAUGAGGGAGGUUGUGAGAUUGACACCUGGCAAAAAUUACCCUAGAGCUGUGUUGAAUUUGUAUAGUUAGAAUGAUAUGUGAUUUUUAUAAGAAACGAUUCACUUUUUAGAUUUGUUGAAUAACUUAUAUAUUUAGUUUAUAAUAUAGAUUAGAUGCAUAAAAUAUUUAAUGAACUUAAAAGAUGAGUUAUUUUGUAUAAAAAGGACAGAAGGGAGUAUUUGAUUGGAGCAUAAUGCUAUUUAUUUUUCGGUGUUCAAUUCUUCGGAGAUGAUAAACUGCAUUAACAAUUUUAUGAAAUUUAUUUUUCUAGAAUCUUCAAUUACUUUAUCAGAGCACACUCUUAGAAUUUUGAGUGUUUGAAUAAUGUAAAUUUUUUAGGUAACAUACUUUUAAAGGGACAAUUCAAUUUCUUCAAUGUAAAUUCUAUUGUUCGAGGUAACAUAAUUUUAAAGGGACAAUUCAAUUUCUUCAAUGUAAAUUCUAUUGUUUGAAUGUGUCGAUAUUUUACAUGGAAACUUGCGUUCAAACUCAGUUCACCGUAUUCCCGUGCAACACAACAAAUGGAUGGUUCCCCCUAUACAUUUAAUAAUUUUCGGAAGGGAAAAAAAAGUACCCCAUCUUGGUGAACCUCUACUUGUGAUCGGGAUGAGGUAGAUGCCUCCUCCCCCCGUGUAUGUGUUUAUUUGAGUAUGUGUUGAUCACUAGACCAAUAACAUAAUAUAAACAAAAGGAAAAUGCUAUCAAGUAUCUCCGAGACACUUUUUAAGCACCUUAAAUAAUAAGUUUUGGUGAGUUUUUUAUGGAAAUAUGUGAAGUCAACGUAUUGAGAAUUAAAAUAUUUUACUUUUUGAAUAAAUGAUUUUCUUAAAUGGAAUGCUAAAGAGUAUCGGGACACUCGUUAUCAAGACCCUAAAUAAAAAAAAAUUGGAUAAUUUUUGAAAUAAUUAAUGAAUUUGAUGAAGUAUAGUAUUUUGCAAGACUAUUUAGGUAAUUUAGGUAAUCUUUUCUUUCCUAUAAAAAAAAUGAAAAAGAAUAAUGCUUAGGUAGUGUUUGACCCGACUUAUUUUUAACUUUUUUUCACUUAAAAGAAAAAGUAGGGCCAAACACUAUUUAUGAAAAACUCUACAAAAAUUAAGCAGCUUAAUUUUAUAAAAGAAAAUUGAAGCAAAAGAAGAUUUAGAAAAAGUUGAUAAUAUCAACUUUAUUCGGAGCUUCUGACUUAUUACCCGCCUUCGAAUCCUGCUAUAGCCAAGUUUCUUUUUAAUAUUUUUUAUUUGUACGUUAACUCAGAGAGGUUUUGGAUAGGCUAACAUUAAUUCUUUGGCAAUAGACACCGUGAAUAUCACGUGGCUAAUUUUUUUUAAUAAUCAUGUUGCUCAGUUUUUUUUUUUACUAAUAUUGUACUUUUAUUUGUUUUGUAUUUUUUGUUGAAUACUACGUACUUAUUAUUAAUUUUACUUAUUUAGAUAAAAAGAAGUAAGAGAAUAUAUUUAAUUUUUAUAAAAAUAAUUUUGUAUUAAUGUCAAGUGUAAACAGUACAUACAUACAUUUUUUUUAAGGAAGUACAUAUAUAUAUAUAUAUAAUAUUAUUAAUUAAAUAUAAUAUAUAUAUAUAUAUAUAUAUAAUAUUAUUAAUUAAAUAUAAUAAUAUCAGUAGUUACAAUUUUUUGUUGAUUUUAAAUUAAAUAAAAAAAUGUUCUAUUAAAUGAAUUUUUUUUAUCAAAAAAAAGUUUAAAGCAAUUUGAGAUAAAAAAAAAGAAGUAAAAUUUAUCAAACAACUUUAACUUUAACUUUAAAGUUCGAAUGUCUAACUUUAAAGUUAAAAGUAACUUUUAGGUAAAAAUUAAGUCGGGCCAAACACUACCUUAGUGCAACGAAAAUUUCAUCCCCGUGGAUUAACUAGCACUGCUCAUAAAGAAAAAACGAAACAAAUGAAUCCCAAACGAGACGACACGGAUCGUGAUUGUCAUCCGUCGAUUAAAUUAUAAUCAACGGUUAAAGUUACUCCUCCCACUGGCAAACUUCUUCAAAACUUCCUAUAUAAACCCGACCCGGGAAUUACAAUUCAUCAUAUUCGCAAAUCAAUCUUCUUCAAAAUUUCAUAAUCACAUUUCAUAAUUAUAAGAAAAAUCCAUUUUCUUCACUGCAACAAAAAUGUCUGGUCGUGGAAAGGGAGGUAAGGGUUUGGGAAAGGGAGGGGCAAAGAGACACAGGAAGGUUCUUCGUGAUAACAUCCAAGGCAUAACUAAGCCUGCAAUUCGUCGUUUAGCUAGAAGAGGUGGUGUCAAGAGAAUCAGUGGUCUCAUCUAUGAAGAAACUCGUGGUGUUCUCAAGAUCUUUCUCGAGAACGUGAUUCGUGAUGCUGUUACCUACACUGAGCACGCUAGGAGGAAAACCGUUACCGCUAUGGAUGUUGUUUAUGCUUUGAAGAGGCAGGGAAGGACUCUUUACGGUUUCGGUGGUUGAUUUUAGGGUUCAAUUUAGGGUUUCUGAUUGACCUAGCUUGAUUUAGUUGUAAAUGUUUGUUGAUUUUGUUGUAUUUCUAUUAUGCUCUUGAUUCGGUUCUUUUGAAUCUUUGAUUAGAUUAGUCUUUAGAUCUGAUUGAAUUGAAAUGAAUCGAUUAGUUCUGUGUUACUAGUAUUUGGAAUUGGAUCUUAUUGAUGAAUGAAUAUUGAAUACUCUUUUGCUGCAAUUACAUCUGAAACGCGCGUUUUUGUUUUUAAUUUCUAUUUUUUGUGAAGUUAUAACAUGAUUAAGAUCUUCAACUGAAAUUCAUUUUAAUUAUGUUAAUAAAAUAAAAUACCAUGGCAUUGGCGUGGACUUGUUUUCGGUUAAUGCUCUGUAGAGAAAUCUCUAUUGAAAAACGAUAAAGGAAGAAGAAUCUCUUUUGAAAAAGAUAGUAAAUUCCUUUCUGAACAAGUUUUGAAUAGUUUUAAUUUAAUUUUGUUUGCAUCUAAGCAGAACAAUAUGCGAUAAAGUGACCCGGUUUGGAUUUACUUCAACGAUUCUGAAUAACCAAUAUUCAUUGAAGAAUUAUGCAGUAUGAAUGUUUGUAAGUUUGAAUUGUUGUAAUGAACAGCAGAAGAAUAGUAGUAUAUACACUCUUAAGUUAAUCAUUUACUUAUAUUUAUGUCUAAUACUAUCAGCCAAUUGGUAGAAGGAGGCAAUUUUUCUAUCCCAAAAUAAAUCCAAUUAACUUUGGUUUUUGAAUACACAUUGCGCCCUCUUGGAGAUGAAGUGAUUAAAAGGCUAGCAAAGAGGCAGGAAAGCCGGGAAAGCAUGAACUCCGAUGCCCUUACUACGAAAUACAGAGAAGGAAAAGGAAGCUGUUAUUGGGACAAUUUUCAAACCAAAUGCAAAUAAGACACUCUUAAAAGGAAUCCCCUUAUUUUAAAUGAUUGAUGCCUAAGUAGGAGUAAGACUUGGUUCAGAAAUUCCAGAAAGUUUCCUCCGAAGAAAGGUCUUUUUGCAAUUCACGGUAUGAUGAAUAGCCAUCAAGAGUUAAUGAUACUAUUGCUGAUAAUCUCAAUCACAGCAUCCAUAGAAUAGCCAUUAAGAGUGAUUUGACGAUACAAAACAUCAAUGCUACCACAAGAAUGUUCAAAACCUCAACUGCUACUCUUUCACAGUUUUCAUUUUGAGAAUUUUGAAAGAAGAAGGAUGUCUAAUUGUAGCAUUAGUCAAAUUACCUAAUAAAUGAUUAUGGUCAGAAUAAGCUCUAGAGAGAGUGCGGUAAGAAAAUGAACUCCAGCAAGAGCAAUCUACCUAUCCAAUCUCAUUUGGAUAAGGAAUCUGCCAAGGUUUUGUUUCUAGUUGUAGAUUGGCUGCCAAGGUAAUUGGGUGUAUUGAUGGUGUUGUUCUAUGAAUAAUAUAAAUUUUUUAGGUAACAUAAAUUCAAAGGGAUAAUUCAAUUUCUUCAAUGGAAAUUCUAAUAUUAGAAUGUAUGGAUAUAUUUUAUGUUGAAAUUCACGUUCAAAUUCAGUUCACUCUAUUCAACCCCUCUCCCCUCCACCUCAUUCAACUCCAACAUUAAACCCACCAUUGUACAUAUUCAACCCUUGUUUUGGAGUUUAAACCCCACCAUUGAAUGUAGUCUUAUACCAGUAAAAAAAACACAAAAUUUGGAUAGUUUUCAAAAUUGAUAAAUUUCAUGAAGUAUUUUGCAAGACUAUUUAGGAAUUUUUUCAUAUAAAAAAAGAAAAAACGAAACGAAUGAAUCCUAAGCGAGACGGCACGGAUCGUGAUUGUCAUCCGUCGAUUAAAUUCUAAUCAACGGUUACACUUACUCCUCCCACUCUUAAACUUCUUCAAAUCUACCUAUAUAAACCCGACCCGGGAAACCAAUUCUUUCAUUCGCAAAUCAAUCUUCUCCAACAUUUCAUAAUCACAUUUCGUAAUUAUAAGAAAAUUCCAUUUUCUUCACUGCAACGAAAAUGUCAGGUCGUGGAAAAGGAGGAAAGGGAUUGGGAAAGGGAGGUGCAAAGAGGCACAGGAAGGUUCUUCGUGACAACAUCCAAGGCAUAACUAAGCCUGCAAUUCGUCGUUUAGCCAGAAGAGGUGGUGUCAAGAGAAUCAGUGGUCUCAUCUAUGAAGAAACUCGUGGUGUUCUCAAGAUCUUUCUCGAGAACGUGAUUCGUGAUGCUGUUACCUACACUGAGCACGCUAGGCGGAAAACAGUUACUGCCAUGGAUGUCGUUUAUGCUCUGAAGAGGCAGGGAAGGACUCUUUACGGUUUCGGUGGUUGAUUUUAGGGUUUCGAUUUAGAGUUUCUGAUUCACCUAGCUUGAUUUAGUUGUAAAUGUUUGUUGAUUUUGUUGUAUUUCUGUUAUGUUCUUGAUUCGGUUCUUUUGAAUCUUUGAUUAGAUUAGUCUUAGAUCUGGUUGAAUUGAAAUGAAUCGAUUAGUUCUGUGUUUCUAGUAUUUGUAAUUGGAUCUUAUUGAUGAAUGAAUAUUGAAUACUCUUUUAC
rnacentral:lncRNA from 1 species